GACGAACCGUGCGAACGUUAUUCGGAAUCAUUGGGCUUAAAGGGCGCGUAGGCGGGUCGGCACGUCGGUCGCUGAAAUCCCCCGGCUUAACCGGGGACGUGGCACCGAUACGGCCGACCUGGAGGCGAGGAGGGGGACCUGGAACGUCCGGUGGAGCGGUGAAAUACGUUGAGAUCGGACGGAACGCCGACGGCGAAAGCAAGGUCCUGGACUCGUACUGACGCUGAGGCGCGAAAGCCAGGGGAGCAAACGGG
rnacentral:rRNA from 1 species